rnacentral:rRNA from 1 species
AUUAAAACCUCAUAACAUUAUUAUUUGGCAUCAUUUAAUAAUUAAAACUCCGGUGGUUAUAGAUGAGCAUGCGUUCUAUUAGUUUGUUGGUGAGGUAAUAGCUCACCAAGACUACGAUAGAUAGGGGGCCUGAAAGGGUGAUCCCCCACACUGGUACUGAGACACGGACCAGACUCCUACGGGAGGCAGCAGUGAGGAAUAUUGCACAAUGGAGGAAACUCUGAUGCAGCCAUGCCGCGUGCAGGAUGACGGCCCUACGGGUUGUAAACUGCUUUUUUACAAGAAGAAACCUUGGUACGUGUUACCAAAUUGACGGUAUUUAAGAAAAGCACCGGCU